rnacentral:lncRNA from 1 species
CACCAUUGUAACCACUAACCGACCUCCAAAAGAAUCCCAACCCCAACACCCUCAACCACAAAAAAAAAAAGUAUAAAAAAUACAAAAAAUAAAAUGAGAGGGAGUUAUGGUUUGGGGGAGCUUUGAGACGGUUUCUGGUCUUGAAAGGAAGAGGAAGAAGUUGUCGUUUGGGGAGGAAGAGGAAGAAAAAGGAAAAGGGAAGAUCGGUGGGUUGACCAACGGUUCGG